UGUUUGGCUCCAGCCAUCCACAGGUUAGAGGCCGGUUUGGUCCAGUUGACGUUAAUUGGUGUCAGAAAUGGGACUGGACAUGGAACCAGGUCAUCGAACUCUGGUACCAGUGGGGACAGACUAGGCACCACCAGAAAUUUAUUUCUUUGGAGUCUGAUCUCCUUCAUCUGGUGAGUCCUUGGCCUCUCCUGCUCCAAUGCCCGAGCUCCUUCCUUGGUUGAGUUCACCAUUCUUUGUGAAGAAAACUCCAGGGCCCUUCCAGUGACCCAGUUCAUCUCAGAUUAUUCUGACUCCCUGGAUCAUCUGAAGAAAACCCCUGCUCCUGAAUGGACAGCGGAACUCUCCAGGGACCUCAAGGUUUAUCUAGUAUGGACCCAGAAGCAGCUGACACCCAGACAAGAUAGCUGUCCUAAGAUUCCGGACAAGGUUCAAGAACUGAAAGUUUGAGCUGGGAUGGACCUUAAAUAUCACCAUGGUUAACCCUCUGAUUUUUCAGAGUAGGAGAUGGAGAGAACUGAGAUGACUUGCCCAAUGUCCCACAAAUGGUUCAUUAGAGACAUGAAAUAGAAUCAGGCGUUCUGACUCAUGGUGAAGUGCUUUUUCUGUUAAAGCUC